rnacentral:rRNA from 1 species
AGUGAACGCUGGCGGCAGGCCUAACACAUGCAAGUCGAGCGGCAGCGCGUCCGACCACCCUCGGGUGGUCGGAUGGCGGCGAGCGGCGGACGGGUGAGGAAUGCAUCGGAAUCUGCCUCGUUGUGGGGGAUAACGUAGGGAAACUUACGCUAAUACCGCAUUACGACCUACGGGUGAAAGUGGGGGACCUUCGGGCCUCACGCGAUGAGAUGAGCCGAUGCCGGAUUAGCUAGUUGGCGGGGUAAAGGCCCGACCAAGGCGACGAUCCGUAGCUGGUCUGAGAGGAUGAUCAGCCACACUGGAACUGAGACACGGUCCAGACUCCUACGGGAGGCAGCAGUGGGGAAUAUUGGACAACGGGGGCAACCCUGAUCCAGCCAUGCCGCGUGUGUG